UGGACAGGGGGGCACGCCCCGUAUGCGAAUUUACAGCUCGCCGCCUUCUCAGCCACCUGACC
rnacentral:tRNA from 1 species